UCCAGACUCCUACGGGAGGCAGCAGUGAGGAAUAUUGGUCAAUGGGAGGAAUCCUGAACCAGCCAUGCCGCGUGCAGGACGACGGCUCUACGAGUUGUAAACUGCUUUUGUGCCGGGGUAAAGUGCCUUACGAGUAGGGUUUUGAAAGUACGGCACGAAUAAGGAUCGGCUAACUCCGUGCCAGCAGCCGCGGUAAUACGGAGGAUGCGAGCGUUAUCCGGAUUUAUUGGGUUUAAAGGGUGCGUAGGCGGACGCUUAAGUCAGCGGUAAAAUUGCGGGGCUCAACCUCGUCGAGCCGUUGAAACUGGGUGCCUUGAGUGGGCGAGAAGUACGCGGAAUGCGUGGUGUAGCGGUGAAAUGCAUAGAUAUCACGCAGAACUCCGAUUGCGAAGGCAGCGUACCGGCGCCCAACUGACGCUGAAGCACGAAGGCGUGGGUAUCGAACAGGAUUAGAUACCCGUGUAAG
rnacentral:rRNA from 1 species